UACUACUCUUACUUUUGACAAUACAGUGGCUGAAUGCUGCUGGGUUCGAUGGCAGUAACAACGAAUAACGAAAUAGAGCAACUGUGGGUAAAAACAGACGCUUGCGCAACAUAGGCUCAGUCAGCGUUUUCUACACAUAGACUGGUAUAGCCCGAAGUAAACAUAUAUGUGCUAUAAAAGACAAAGAUAUAUGCUAUAAGUGAAAGCUUGAAGCAACAUCGGAUAAAAGCGCUGGUAGCAGCAUUAACUGAAAAAUAUGUACAUAAAGCUGCAUAAAGUCUACGUGAUCAAAUACAUGUGCCCGACAAGAAAACGGCAUAGGGAGGGUUUUUGAGGAGGUUUCCUGAUGCGUUCCGGACUAGGUUGCCUGAUCUGGAUCGAAUUUGAAAUCAGAUUGACUUAAAUUCCGAUUUGUGAAUACAAGAUUUCUUGUAUUGUAGCGAGUUUUCGUGGUUGCUAAAUUUCAUAUUUUUUCAAUAGUGUGAUAAUUUGGUUAUGUAUCCCCGGUAGAAUUCUGUGAGAUUCAAAUAAGUUUCGAUCCAUUCGUUAUAGCUAAUUUCAAAGGCUACAAAGUGGAUACAAUAUAAGUAGACAAAUAACAGCUAAUAAAAUAAACAGCCAUCUAAAAUAGGAACACUUUUGUUUCUAACACAAGUAGGUAACUGUAGAGUCAACGAUUCGAUUUAUUCUAUUUUCGUCCUCUUCUGUAACUAGUAUCAUGAUGACUAUUUUUUAUCUAAAAUAUUGCCCAUAAAAUAGCUAAUAAAUAGGUAAAAAUUACUACUACAUAUUUGUUUUAUUUUAGUGCCCUAGAGGGCACUCGAGUAAAUUUACAGUUAGAGUGGGUAUAAGCAGAGUGAAGCCAUAGAUGAUUUUUACCUCAGAAGUGACGGAAAUCUCUUAUACCAACUCUAUACGGCGAGCACAAAAAUUUGGACCAAUAAAACCCUGUAGCUUCACUCUGCUUAUACCCACUCUAUUUACAGUAGACUGGGUAUAAGCACUGGUUAUACUCUAUUUACAGCAGUCAGUGAAUAAUAUUAUUUAUUUUAUUUUAUUUACAAUCAACAAGAUGACAUAAAAAAAAUAUUUAUUUUCAUUUAAAGAUAAAAAGAUGAAGUGAGUAAAAUUUUAAUAGAAAUAUUUUAUUGAAUCUUAAUUUUCUUUGAUUAAUUUUUUUGUAAACUUUUUUUGCAAAUACUUGAGUGGAAAAUUUUAAGGUUGAAUGUUGUAACUACACUAUCAUAUACCACGCUAAUAUUUUUUUUUUUCAGUUAAAUUUUUAAAUUAAUGAAUUUCAUAUCGAACGGUAAUCUCAAUAUUUUUAAUUUCUGGAGCAUCGAGUCUCAAUGCAGUAUGUUGAUAGAAAGAACAAUGGAAUUUCUCUAUCAUUAGUCAGUAUGCUGAAGUUAUUUGUUUCUGAAAGAGUUGCCAUCAAAUUCGUCGCGCAAAGAAGAACUUCUGAGAAACUGGCCAUGAAUACCACACCAUUUUACUUGUGUUUAAAAGGUGUUAUACUGGAUUAUCGCACUGGAUACAUCGCACGUAUGUUCGAACGUUACGCUAAACGUGCUCUAAUUGACAUCAGAAAUCGAGAUCGACGAUUGAGCUUAAACGACGUCAAUUCGACCUCGAUCCAGGUGGCGUGGCAAUCGCACAUGAUUCUAUAUUAUUUAAAAAAAAAAAUCUCGUUAGAAUUUUUUAAAAAGUUUUAUUGAAAUACGAACGAAAGAUUUUUUUGUCGAGGCAUUCAACUUUUGUCUGGAUAUGUUGUGAAUAUUGAAAAGUACCAAAAAAGUCUUGAAAUUCCAUGCCUUUUAGAGGUAAUUUCCAAAAGUCUUAUUUUGCCAUACUUUUCCAAGAUUUUUAGACAACUCUGAAAAAGUAUUGAUUUUGGCAACCAUCAGGAUUGCUCUUACUUCAAAACUCUAAGUCUUAUUUUUUAAGACUUCUUCCGUACCUAAAAUUUUCAUUCGGGGAAUUGGUUAGCUUUUAUUAAAGCUAAGGAAAAAUCUAGCAGCUGAGUAAAAUAGCUAAGUAAAGUAAAGUAAGUAAAGUGGCUAAGUAAAUGAUCUAGCUUUGGGUCCCUUUAACUUGGCAAAACUCGAUAAAAUAUAAAAAGAACCACGAAUAGUAGAAGUGCCAUAAUGGACGAUGAGUGACGUCCCUCACCAUGGGGUGAAACGGGCCUGCAUUUGAAUAUUGCGUCUAAGGUUACUAGUGUGCUGACAACUUGACGAAUUUCUCAAUUGAUAUCUCAGUAAAAUAUUUACAUUAUAAACUUUUAUUCACAGUAUUCUAUGCUAACUUUAGAUAAAUACGCCCCAACUAAGAUGAAAUUUAGAUUGUAGCAUUUUAUUUUUGAUGUAAUUAAGUUAUAAGUAACAAUUAAAUUAUAUCUUAUUAUUCAAAUUAACAAAUUAUUAUUAUUUUUUUUUUUUGAAUUGAUAGUUGAAAAAAACAACACACAUUUAAUUUGUUUAUUUAUAAUUUCAUUAAAGUUGAAACUAAAAGAUAUUUCCCGUUAUUGCUUUUUUGAUUUUUUGGUCUCAAAUGGAUGCCAAAUAAUAAUCUAGUUCGAUAAAUUUUUUCAAAAUUUUCAUGGUUGUUUUUUUAAGAUAAUUGAUUUGAAUUAAUCAAGACUAUAAAUUAAUUUAUUUGGCUACAUCCUUUCCUUAGAUAAAUUUGCCAUAGUGAUGCCGCGAGACGAGAGUCUGCUCUCUCUCGUCUCGUUUCGAGUUUGAAAGAUUGUCUCUCGUCUCGAAUAUUCUCAUCUCUCGUCUCGUCUCGUCUUCUCUCGGUCAACAAUUUAUUCUUAGUAGUUUUUUUUACAAUAUAUAAAUAAUAGAUUUAUUACUUCGAAUUUAUCAUAAACUUUUUUUUAAUUUUUUAAUACAAAUUAUUUAUGCUUAGAUAUUAUUUGGUUAUUUCAGUAAUUUUUCUGCGAAAAACAAAUAUAAUAUGGAGAAUAAAUAUAUGUUAUCUACUGUACUACAAAAAAACAAGAAGCCAUAUAAAUCAUAUUACAAUCAACAUUGAUGGAAAAAAACAAAAAUCACUGAACCAAAAAAAAUCUUAUUGAAAACAAGUAAUAUGAAACGGGUCAGAAAUGUGUCAUAAGUAGAUUGAAAAUAUAUAAAAACUAAAAAAAUAAAAACAAGAACUAAAUUAUUUGUCUCUCGAGUUUUCUCUCGCAUAUCGACAUCGGUGUCUCGUCUCGUCUUGUCUCUCGCGACGAGAGAAAAUUCGUCUCUUGUCUCGAAUUUUAUCGUCUCUCAUCACCUCUCUCUCUCGUCUCGUCUCGAGUUCUGUCGCCUAUCGCGGCAUCACUAAUUUGUCAUAAAUAAUCAAUUAGAAAGAUAGUGGCAAAUGUUGCUAAGGAAAGGAUGUAGACAAAUAAAUUAAUUUGUAGUCUAGGUUAAUUCUUCAGCCAUUUUACACAAUUAUUUUAAUUUUUUAUGGCAAAUAUUGCUAUGGAAUUACUAAUUGCUUGAAGAUUACUAAUUAAUUUAUCUGAUUACAUCUUUUUCCUAGAUAUAUUCGCUAUAAUAAAUUAAAGGAAAGCUAUUGGCAAAUGUACCUAAAGAAAUAAUGUAGCCAAAUUGAUUGAUUUGUAAUCUUUAUUUGAUGGAAGUGUCCUAAGCUCUAUUUGCCAUAAUAAAUCAAAAUUAUUAGGUGAAUACAUCCCAGGUUAAAAUUAGUCUCGAAAUUCAACACUGAAUCUCGUUUUGACGUCGAAGACUGAGCUCGAUUCUAUGUAGAUAUACACUAUUCGACGUCGGAACGAGGUUGAGGGGAGGUUACAACGAGGCGAAAAAUAAAACAUGCACGAAAAGACUUAAUUAAUUAAUAUUAUGAUAAAAGAUCAAUAGUAUUGAUUGAAUUGAACAUAAAAAUGAUA